ensembl:lncRNA
UAUAUAUUAAUAGGAAUUCAAGAAAGUUUUGAUUUACCUCUCAUCUUUCCAAUCCAAUUGAAAUUUUAACAGCCCACAAAUUCUGCAUUCAGAAUUACUUAUUUAAAAUAAAUUUACAAAGGAAAAAAAAUGGCAUUUUCACUUUAUGAAUCAAAGAAAGUUCAAAUUUGCCCCCAAAAUAACCUUGUAUAGAUAAGAUAGGCUGAGCAAACUAACCCAUGACUGUUGAUUCCGGUUUAGUUACACAGUUACCUCACCUCAAAGUCUUAUCUGACUGUGCUGCAUGCUUGUUUUAGGGGAGAAAAUCUUCAGCAGGAGGAGGCAAAUACCAAGAGGGGUCCUUGAUGGUCUUUGUAGAAACCAGGAGUACUAGGCUUGGAAAUGAAAAUGGGAUGAAAUUUUUCUUUAUGGAAUUUGGCAGCCAAAAGAAUUACCUGAUUAGCUGUAAGUAAGAAAGAGUGUGUGAUGGGGCUUAUGAAUUCUUCCCAGCAGUACUUAAUGAUGUCCUGAUUGAUACCCACAUUCUCAAUUAGGAUUUAAGUGUGUUCUCUCUUAACUCA